ACAGUCUCAGUUCGGAUUGAAGGCUGAAAUUCGCCUUCAUGAAGCCGGAAUUGCUAGUAAUGGCAGGUCAGCAUACUGCCGUGAAUACGUUCCCGGGCCUUGUACACACCGCCCGUCACACCAUGAGAGUUGGGGAUACCCGAAGCCUGUGAGCUAACUUUUAGAGGCAGCAGUCGAAGGUAGAAUCAAUGAUUGGGGUGAAGUCGUAACAAGGUAAC
rnacentral:rRNA from 1 species